UACGGAGGGGGCUAGCGUUGUUCGGAAUUACUGGGCGUAAAGCGCACGUAGGCGGCUUGGUAAGUCCGCUGUGAAAGUCCAGGGCUCAACCCUGGAAUGCCGGUGGAAACUGUCAAGCUUGAGUCCGGAAGAGGCGAGUGGAAUUCCUGGUGUAGCAGUGAAAUGCGUAGAUAUCAGGAGGAAUACCGAUGGCGAAGGCAGGUCUCUGGGCUGACACUGACGCUCAUGCACGAAAGCGUGGGGAGCAAACAGG
rnacentral:rRNA from 1 species